GGCUCAGGAUGAACGCUGGCGGCGUGCUUAACACAUGCAAGUCGAACGAAGCACUUUAACUUGAUUUCUUCGGAAGGAUAGUUCUUGUGACUGAGUGGCGGACGGGUGAGUAACGCGUGGGUAACCUGCCUCAUACAGGGGGAUAACAGUUAGAAAUGACUGCUAAUACCGCAUAAGCGCACAGUACCGCAUGGUAUGGUGUGAAAAACUCCGGUGGUAUGAGAUGGACCCGCGUCUGAUUAGCUAGUUGGUGAGGUAACGGCCCACCAAGGCGACGAUCAGUAGCCGACCUGAGAGGGUGACCGGCCACAUUGGGACUGAGACACGGCCCAAACUCCUACGGGAGGCAGCAGUGGGGAAUAUUGCACAAUGGGCGAAAGCCUGAUGCAGCGACGCCGCGUGAAUGAAGAAGUAUUUCGGUAUGUAAAGUUCUAUCAGCAGGGAAGAUAAUGACGGUACCUGACUAAGAAGCACCGGCUAAAUACGUG
rnacentral:rRNA from 1 species